rnacentral:lncRNA from 1 species
CUCGCUGUAAAACACACAUCUGUUCCCAUAGCAAAUCUAAGGAAAACAACAUGGGUUUCUCUGAAUAUACAAACAAAUUCAGUAGUUGUCAGGAUUUGCUUAUUUCUUGCUUACGAAAACCACUAUAGUUGCUCACUUCUUCCCCCCUUACUGUGUUUUUCUUGCAACAAGGGCGCAGUGCAAAAUCCCUGCAGGAGAUUAGAGAAACAAGGGGAAACACAAGGAGACAAAAGUUACACCUUCUCUCGAUCUAUUUUUUGGCUGUAGAUUUGUAAAUCACUACUUUCUUUAGUUUUUAACCUCUAAUGGCGCAGGUCCUUGUGAUGGGGUGGAGCCAGGGGAAGUGUUUCGCUGCUCGUCCUACUCUUUGCGAUCAGGAGGAGAGAAGCAUGAGAAGUGCAGCAUGUUUGCGUCUUGCAGGGUGGGUGGGGCAGGCAAAGGGACGCAGGAGACGGUGACCCCUUUCUUUCCAAAUCUGGAGCGAGGGGGGACCAAAACAUACCAAAAACGGGAGGCUGCCAGGGGGCGCUAGUGGGCAAAGAUUGCUCGCUAGUCGCGUCCUUUUUUUAAAUAUGCGAUUUUUUUAAAAUAAAAAUAAUUUUUGAAUACACAAACAUUUUAUUAAAAAUUCUCUUUUUUAAUGUUUGGCAUUUUUUGAAGUACCAAAUUAUUUAAAGUAGAAAUAAUAAAAAGGAAGAAGAAAAAAUUUAAAAAACGAAAUUUAAAAAUAGGUUCUAGUCUUUUGUGCUAUGAGCGCUUGAUGCACAUUUCUUGCUGUAGGAAAGAAAAUUUUUGCAUGCCUUAGGAAUGGUAGCUUCCGCUGUUUAAAGAUCAAUAUCGAUCUUUUUUUAUUAAGCAAACACACAUUUCUAUACUGAAAAAAUCUUUCGCCCCGCUUUAUAAAUAAAGCAACCACCGAGCACAAAGUAACAAGGUUCCAACCACACAAACACACGCACACAAAGCCACCACAGGCAGGUCUGACAAACACACACACAGACGAAACCCAGGUUCAGCUGCGGGCACAGCACAACAAGCCCAACACCGGCGCAAGACACACACAACAAAUGUAACGGCGAUGGCGAGGUGUAGAAGAUCUAAUCCAACUCCGGAGGUGGUGGGGCAUCCGGAGAGCCAUCAAGCGAAGCUGGGUGAUGAUGGAGGUGAUGACGUCUCUCUCCCGGGGACGGCUAAGCGGCCGCCAAAGCUGCAAGUAACCAGACCAUUUGAAUAAAGCGUCAGUAGCACGUCGAAGAGGAAUGCACUGAAUCACAAGUUUAUUCCUAAAAGUCCACAACGUCCAGGUUAGCACCCUGAUGACCAGCCACCUAAUGUGGCGAACUAAGGGAGCUAACGCCUGGAGUUCGGUGAAAAGAGCGGGGAAGUUGUUAUGGUCCCAACUUCCACCCACUAUUUUGCGGAAACAACUCCAUAGAAACCGCGCGGACACGCAGGUGAAGAAGAUAUGGUUCGAAUCCUCUUCAGGCCCACAGCGCGGGCAGCACCCAUCCCCUGGGCCGUCGCGCUUCAGGACCUCCACGCCAGAUGGGAGGCGGCCGCAAAUCCACUGCCACAAGAAAAUUCUAAUCUUCAAGGGGAGCCGAAUCUCCCAGAUGGUGGUGAGAGCCUCAUGACCCAGCGAAGGUGUGAUGGCUUGGUAUAGAGAUUUGGUGGAGAAUUGCCUAGAUGUCUCUAGCCGCCAUCUGGCACGGUCUUCUCAAACCUCAAGAUCAGGCUCGUGCAACGCGAUCCAUCCCAGCAGCUCAUGCCAGUCCCCGUUCUCAGCCGGGCCAAACGCUCUCCGAAACGCGAGUUGCCCUAAGUCAAUAAGGGCCGUCGCGACAGAGAUCCGCGGGUCAACCGCGAUGGAGAAUAGGUCGGGAAAACGUGCCGCGAGGGGUAAGUCUCCAGCCCAUCUAUCGAACCAGAACAUCGUGGAGGUGCCCGAUCCAACCGCGAUCGAGGUACCGAUGCGGAGGAUCGGCAGGAGCUGUAUAAUGGAUUGCCAGAACUUACACCAUCAAUGUAUAAUCCAUUGCACAUGUUUGGCUCUUCACCUAGAGAUAUUGGCUCCAAUAUAAGUAAUAUACAACAGAGUACUAGCAAACAUUGGGUUCCAACUAAGCUCACGCUUGAGGACAGGAGGUGUCACCGCAUCAGCUCACGCCUAAGGACAGAAGCUGUCACUAUUCUUCAUCCCAGGGGUCUCAUACUGUCCACCACCACCAGGGACGACUCCCUGUAGAUGCUUUGAUCGCUUCAGCGACCAUCACACAGAUGGGAGCCUUGUGCACCAGGCAAUGGGUCCUCUCUGUCAUGGGAUUGGCAUGUCUUCCCAUCCCCAACAUUCAUUGUUUUUCCGGCCUGAAGGUUUUGACAUAAACAAGAAACUCUGCCAUGAAAAAGCAUGAGCUAAUGAUUUUACUACAAAACAGACAUUUUGUACCUUGUCGGUAAAAGCCAUCCAGCUCUCUUCAGAAAGCUAUAUAACCAAAACUUCUUAUGUGAUCUAUGCCUCGGUCUGUUAGAUGGUAUCUGAAGCUUGAGUCCAUGAGGUUCCAAACAGAAGGCAAACAAUGCAGGUUUUGGGGUAGCCUUUUUCUUGGUAACCCUACAUUCUGUUUACUGCUGAUUCCCAUUCAUGUAGCUGCCAUGUAUAAAUCUUCCACAUAACAGGCUGAAAAUGAUAGGAAGUAAAAUCAGAUGGAGUAUGAACUCCAGUAUCAACAUUCUCUGUUGGGUUGAAAUGAUACCAUUUGGUAACAUAUGAGCAUCAUAGCUCAAAAGUGCCAUUUUCAAUCAUUUCCUUGAAAUCAUGAGCUUAAUUAUGCUUCUAUAAAUUCAACAUAUAGAAACCUACACAAUAUUAAGAACAAAAGUACUGACAUGACCAUGCACUUGCUUGGUUGCAACUUAAUAGAGCCCUACUGAAACAGAAACUCCAUGUAUAGUUACGCUACACAAAAGAAGCUGCCUUCUAAACUAUUCGAAGUAAGACGACACAAUGAUGCUUUGUUUUACUCGAUUGUUACAAAGAGCAUAAGAUUUUUUUCCCCUUUUGGGACCUUAUGUUAAGCGCAACCCUCCACCAGUUGCAGAGUUGGAAUAAUUUCAAGGAAAUUCACUUUGAUUAUCAAGACAAAAUAUGACAGGACAACGUUUGGAUAAUGAGAUUCUCAGCGAAAUUGAGGGUCCCAUAUUUUUNNNNNNNNNNNNNNNNNNNNNNNNNNNNNNNNNNNNNNNNNNNNNNNNNNNNNNNNNNNNNNNNNNNNNNNNNNNNNNNNNNNNNNNNNNNNNNNNNNNNNNNNNNNNNNNNNNNNNNNNNNNNNNNNNNNNNNNNNNNNNNNNNNNNNNNNNNNNNNNNNNNNNNNNNNNNNNNNNNNNNNNNNNNNNNNNNNNNNNNNNNNUGAAUAUAUUUCAAAAAGAUGUCACCAACAAGGUUUAUGCAAGGCGAGAGGAGAAAAAAUCCCGCCACAAUCCGGCAUGGAUUUUUUGGUCCGCCUUUGAAAGGCAGUGUGACCAAAGAGCAAGGACUGCCCUAAUUACAUCAUGUGGGGUUUGGUUUACCCCUCUAAAGGUCAUCGCAUUCCGUGCAUCCCCAAAUUUUCCAGAGCAGUAGCAGCAGAAUGAAGGGCUACACCGGCUGCGGCAGGGUGGGGUGGCAUGGCGAGCUCCACAGUUCCACAAGCUGUGAGGAACAUGGCUGUAGCCCAAGUGCAUCCCAUAUGGCAGCAGCAGCGGGGCAAGCAAAGAAAAGGUGAGCACGAUCUUUCGGCGCACCGUUGCAACGGGGACAAGAUGACGACUCGAUGAUGGACUUAUGGUGUAGAUUGGCUCGAGUGUUAAGCCUGUCAAGAUAGAACAACCAUCUGAACACCCGUACCCUGCUAGGAACCCUCGAGUCCCGUAUGUGGGCAAGGUUUGGGUCGGCCAUAUGAGAGGUCAAAGUGCGUUAAGUCGACUUGGGGGGUGAAUAGGUGAUUUUUACAAAUUCGUCACUAAGGAAUUUCAGGGUGAGGAAAUUCCUAAGUCACGAACUACUAGCAGUGGAAUAAGUACUCAUAUGCGCACAUAACAGAACAGAAUCACAGCCAUCAUGAUGAAAUGAAAACAAGCACAGAGUACACAAAGCGUAAACACAUGAUAAGCAGACUGAAGACAAACUAACUGAAGAAAUUGAACUGAGGAAAUUGAGAAAGUCUUUAGUCAAAGUCUUCAAACAGUAACGAUCAAGUACACAACACGGUAAUGAGGAAAUGGAAGGGUUGAGGAAAUAGAACCAGUUAUCUCGGUGAAGACAGUGAUUUGGUAGACCAGUCCCAACUGUUGUGAUAGUUGUACGUCUGGUUGGAGCGGCUAGGUAUUUCUUCGAAGGUGGCUGAGACCAGUCAAAGUCCUGCUUGAAGCCCAUCUGUUUAAGAUCUUAUUCACCGUAGAGAUGAGAUAGAACAGCCCAGGUGCGAUCAGAUACUUCAUGCAAAUAGUAAUGGUUCUUCUUCACUGAAUUCUGAGUGAUUGUCAUGUUCUGAAGAAUUGAACCAAACUGUCGCUUGACCCACUUAUGGUUGUGAUCGAACUUCUGGUGAAGACCGAGGAGAAGCUCAUGAUCAGUCAUCACCCUUGGAGCUGUGCCUUGAGGAUUUUUCUUUGAAGCAUUAGCAGCAGAGUCAUCAUUGAUGGAGUAGGAUGCAGCUUUGCGGAACUGUCCAUCCAAUGGACGAAUGCCUUCAUCAAUAAUCGCCGUCGCCUUGCCCUUCUCAUCAACUGAGGAAAAUUUCCGCUUGAGGACUUCAAUAGGGGGCAAGCAGCUGCCAUGGUUAAGAGUAUCAGCCUUGAAGUUGGUUUAAGACCUUUAUCUAAGGAAUCUCAUAAUCCAAGGAGCGUAAGGCUUCAAUUCAAAUGGUGACAAUGCAACAUUGGCCAGAGUCCUCAUGAAGAAAUCAUGGUAGUUGAUUGGAACGCCGUGGAUGAUGUUGAAUAGCAUAUUCUUCAUGAUGCCAACGAUCUCUUCUUCAUUAGAGUCAUGGCCUUUGAUUGGACUCAGGGUCUUGGUCAGAAUUCUAUAGACAGUCCUUGGCACCUAUAGCAAUUCCUUCAUGAGGAAAUUGGUUCUUGGGGCUUGACUAGGCUUCAGCGGCUUCAUCAACAUUUGCAUGUAAUGAUCAGAUAGCUCAGUUUCAUGGUAGAUGAGCUGCGCACCUUCAAGGGGAGGACUGACACACAGGGCAUGAAGCAAUUCAGAGGCUGGUGCUUUGUAAUGUGUGUUCUCUGUCAUCCAUUCCAACACCCAUGAAUUCACAUCUUCAGCAUUGCCGGUGAUGUGCAAUGUAGCGUAGAACUGAAGAAUUAGCUCUUCAUUCCAGUCACAUAUGUCGGUGCAGAAAUUCAGCAGCCCAGCGUCGUGAAGAACACUAAGGACUAGGGUGUAGCAAGGCAGCGAUUCCAUAUCCACAUGAGGAAUAUGCUCAUGGUCAAAGAUCUUGUCCUUAUCAAAUAGCAGUGAAGAGUAGAAGUUCAUAUGACUUGCGAUCCAAAAACGCUUGUAGCGAAGAUGAGCAGAGUCAUAUGGGUUGUAGUCAGUGAACAAUACAUGUUCAUGAAAGAAGUCAUCAACCUUGAACUUCUGCUUCUUUGAGAAGGGAUUCUUCGGCUUGGGAUGAGGAGUAUCAGUUAAUGUCUUCACAGCCUUAGGAGCCGCGGGCUGAGGAAUUUCAGUAGCAAUAUCUUCAGUGGCAGCCUGGGUCUCAAUCUCUUCAACAGCAUUAACAUCAGCACACUAGUGGCUGGAAUUUCUUCAGGGAUGGUAAGAAGAGACGCUUGAGGUUCAUCAGAGCCCGUAUGAAUUUCUUCAGUCUGGACUGGGGAAUGAGGAACCUGUUGCAGAGGGGUGAACAUUGGAGAGUUAGGGUGAUGACUUUCCCAAUAGUCAUUAUUCAGAACAGCAGUGGCGCUUCCAAUGUCCACGUCUUCUUCUUCUUCUUCAUCCAUUUCUUCAACACCGGCCUCUUCAGCUGUGAACUGAGGCAUGGACGAUGAUACCAGUGGGGUUGAAGGGAUGUUAUCCACUUCAAUUUCUUCGUCCAACUGCUUUGACGAAGCAGCAGAAGGAACAUCUUCAUCUGAUCCACUUGGGAUCUCAUAAUCCUCACCAAAGGGAACAAUUUCCUUUGAUGGCAUACUUGAGAGAGGAACAACAUCUAUAGGAUUAUCAUAGGAGCUUGUCAAAGUCUUCGCCUUCUUGGGUGCAGAAGACUCUGAGGAAGCAUAUGCUUUCCUUUUCUUCACUGCUGCUCGCUCCGUAGCUUUGGUUUUCUUCACUUCUAAUGCAGAAGGAAGAACAUGACUUCGUGUUGGUGCAAGAGGAGCAGAGGAAAUUGGUUCAUUUUCUUUAGGCGUAACUAAUGUAGUCGCCCUGGCUUGUUCAGUGUCUUCAGGCGCAGUGACAGAUGCUUCAGCUGGCCUGACUUGUUCUUCAGACGCAACACUAGUGGUUGCCCUGGCAAUUUCAUCAGCGGCUGGAAUAGCUUCAUCAGACCUGGUACUUUCAGUUUCUUUAGCAACCUGAUUUUCAUCAGCGGUGCUGGCAUGUUCUUCAGUAGGCUGUGCAGAUGCUUCAACCUGAGGAAUUUUAAUGUGUGUUUGAGCAGCAACAUUUGACGUAAAUCCCUUCGCCAAUUUGACGAAUCUGACUUUGGCUCCAAGCCAGUAUGCAUGGUAGGUAUCAAAUUCAUCACUGCGGUUUUUGAUCUCAGCUUGUGUAGCUACAAGUUCAUCAGUUGUCAUUUUGACAAUGUUCUUUUUCAGAAAACACUCCUUUUUGUAAUGAGCUUUCUUCAACUGCCUGGCCUUCUCAAAUUUCCAUUUGUCUUCGCCGAUGAAGGCGGUCAGCAUGUGACUUUGGCCAGGAGUGAGCUUGAAAUCAGGCAUAGGAGUGUUGGGGUCCUUGUGCUGGAGAUCAAUGAAGUCCAGGAUCAGCUUGGGAUCCAACAGAAGAGGCACAUCUGUGCCUUUGGCUCUAGCGGCCCUUUGCUGUCUAUCUCUGAUGAUUUCUGCGAGUUCUUCAUCAUCAACUUCGUCUUCACUGGACGGUACUUGGAAGGCUACCUGCUUCUUAUGAGGACUUGGUCUAGUGCCUUGUUCAGCAGUAGCUUUGGUCUUCAGCAAGGUGGGGCCUGUUAAGGACAGUGGAGGAGCUGAAGAACUUGCAGAGGCUCCUGAGGCAAUUGAAAUGCCUGUGGUCCUUUGACACGAGGCAAGAUGCACAGGUACUGAGGACUUUGCCGAAGGAGUAGAGGGCUUUGCAAUUGGAGGCACUGGAGCAGCUUGAGGAAUUUGCCGUGAGGGCAUUGAUGAGCUUGGCCGCGAGGGCAUUGGUGAAGAGCUGGGUUUGUGAGCUGGCUUCUUUUGCAUAGACUUCCUUGGCUUGCUAGCAGAGGCCUCAGCAGCGACAGCAGCAGAGUCUUCGUUGAAUUUCCUUACUGCUUCCUUGGCCAUUUUGGCCAGUUUAGCUUGCUUCUUAGCCCAUUCGUCAGGAUAGUCCUCACCGCGCUUGAGGCUAGUGGGAUCAACAAGUUGGCCUGGUGCCAACGGAGGUCUUGGGCAAGGAGGGUGAAGAGCGAAUUUCUUCAUGUACUUUGGAGUGACAUAACGGUAUUCCCUCCAUUCCCGUGCCCAUCUCCUUUCCAUCCUUUGGAUGCGCACCUUGCGUUGAUUCUUGUUCUCCUUGCCAUACUUGGCUUCAUCAGGAGUACAAUAUUCUUCAUAGAUGUCAUCUGGAUCUCAAACGCUGUGUUAACUUCCGGUUUCUUGCCUCCCUUCUGAGGUUUCUUGCCAUCUGCCAUUUUCUUCAGCUGAGGAUUUUGAACAAUUGAGUUCUCUGAAGAGGUAUGUAAUUUGUCUUCGAGGAACGCUGCAAAUGAGUUAAGUUGAUGAGAACCUAGUGAUUCAGCAGCGGACAUAUGUACCUGUGAAUAGAUUAUAGGUGCGAAGAAUUUGGAGAGGUCAUAUGCGUUCUUAGAAGUUUUUGCAAAAAGAACAAGUUUGAGGAAUUUGACCAGAGGUGUCUUGAGGAAUUUCACUAAGCAUUUUUGACUUAGGUUCCAGAGUUGUAUAGAUUGAAAAUCCACACAAUUGAGGAAUCUUGAAGAAAAAAUAUAGCUUAGAGAAACAAAUCAAGAAGAGAUGCUUGUGUGAGGUGUUUAAAGUGUGGAAGUUGAAGAAUAAACACCUUUUGAAGAUUUUGUAGAAAUCAUCUGAAUCAACAAGAACAUUAAAAGUAACUUUUAAUUACCCUUGACGAAGAACACGACGAACUGAGAGUAGUAGAUUGGAAGUUCGUCAGUCCAGAUCUUCCACACCCUAACUUGGCAGAGGAAGACAACUACAGCGGCGGCGGAGGGAAGAUAUCCGCGGCCGGCGCGAGUAUGACGACGACGAGGUUGAGGCAGUGAAGCUCUUCCUCACCGGCGAUGAUGAGAGUAGCAGCGGCGCUAGGUCUUGAGAGCUCGAGCGAGGGAAGUGAGGUCGAGCAGGGUAAAUGCAGUCUAAGGAGGGUGAGGGGUAUAUAUAGCCGAGGUGAAAAACCGCUUGCCAGAGGAAAUUGGACGAAUGUGCCCCUGACCUUCUCAUCCUAGCGACAUGUGUCACCCACGUAUAGAGCGGUGGAGAUCGUGGGUGAAUAGAUAAAUUCUAUUGUGGGAUGUGAAACGGUUUGAGCGGCAAAAGCCAAAAAUUCAGAUUAGAAAGUUUUAACGAUUCGUUCGCAAAUUCUUCAGCUGACAAGGACAUAGUGAAGAUUUUGAACGGGUUUCAAAUAGAAUGCACAUGACGAAUUUGUGAACAGACUGGGUUGAAUAUAGCAUAGAGGGGGAAUGGUUCGAUCACAUUUACUUAGCAGAAAAGGCAACUUGAAGAUUUAGCAAUAAGUGAAUGCUGUGGAGGACAUAAAACUCAUAUAUAUAUAUGUAUGUAUGUAUGUAUGUAUGUAUGUAUAUAUAUAUGUCAACGAAGAACAACGACGGAAAGAGUGAAGACUAUGCAAAGUUGAAGAAUUUGAACAACUGAGGAAUUUCAGAACUAAAAAACUCAAAUUGAAGAUUUUCAACUUUUGUUGGUGGCGUAACCCACCGUAUAAGAAUGAUGAUCUCAGACGCCGCGUACAAUUGUCGUAGGGCUCGGAGAAUCAAAUUCUUCGUUAAUUUUUGCACACUUAGAGGGUUAGUCUUCAUUGAUUGAAGAAAAAUGUUACUUCGUGUGUUGCACAUCCAAGUCAUCAAUUUUGUAAUAGUGUUAGGAUGUGUGUCCUUUUCAAAGGACAUUCGAAGAUUCUAAGAUAUUUAGCUCACACCACAACUUGCUAAAUCUCUUCUCAUCCAAGGGCUUUGUGAAGAUAUCAGCUAGUUGUUCUUCAGUCUUCACGUGCUCGAUAGAGAUGUCGCCCUUCAACACAUGAUCACGAAGAAAAUGAUGACUAAUCUGAAUGUGCUUUGUCUUCGAGUGCUGAACUGGGUUAUGAGCAAUUUUGAUGGCACUCUCAUUGUCACAGUAGAGAGGCACAUUCUUCACAUUGAUGCCGUAGUCCUUGAGGGUUUGCUUCAUCCAUAGCAAUUGAGCACAACACGAACAAGCAACAAUGUACUCAGCUUCAGCAGUAGAAAGUGAUACACAGUUCUGUUUCUUCGAGGACCAACAUACCAAGGAUCGUCCGAGGAAAUGGCAUGUGCCUGAUGUUGACUUGCAGUCCACACGAUCACCAGCAUAGUCAGAAUCUGAAUAUCCAAUGAGAUCAAAAGCCAAGCCCUUGGGGUACCAUAAUCCAAGUGUUGGAGUGUGAGCUAGAUAUCGAAGAAUAUGCUUCACAACCUUAUGGUGUGAUUCCUUCGGUGUAGCUUGAAAACGGGCACACAUGCAAACACUAAGCAUAAUAUCUGGCCUAGAUGCACAUAAAUACAAUAAAGAGCCAAUCAUGGAGCGGUAUACCUUUUGAUCGAAGUCAAUACCAUUUUCAUCAGUGCAUAGAUGGCCAUUUGUAGGCAUAGGGAUUUUGACGCCUUUGCAAUCUUGCAUGCCGAAUUUCCUCAAUACAUCCUUGAGGUAUUUCUCCUGAGAUAUGAAGAUGCCAUUGCGCUGUUGACGUAUUUGAAGACCUAAGAAGAAUUUCAAUUCUCCCAUCAUAGACAUUUGAUAUUCUUCACUCAUCAUAUAGGCAAAUUCAUCACUGUAACGUUGGUCAGUACAACCAAAGAUGAUAUCAUCAACAUAUAUUUGGCACAUGAAUAAUUCAUCAUCAUAGGUUUUGGUGAAAGAGUUGGGUCAAGUGAACAGGGUUUGAAGCCUUUCUUCAUGAGGAAUUCCUUCAAAGUAUCAUACCACGCCCGAGGGGCCUGCUUGAGGCCAUAGAGGGCCUUAUUGAGUCUGAAGACUUUGUCAGGAUGCUUUGGAUCUUCAAAACCUAGGGUUGAGCAACAUAUACUUCUUCCUCAAGCUUACCAUUGAGGAAUGCACUUUUCACAUCCAUUUGAUAUAAGUUAGCAUAAGAAAGCAAUAUGCGAAUAGCCUCAAGUCUAGCAACAGGUGCAAAAGUCUCAUCGAAAUCAAUUCCUUCAACCUGUGUGUAGCCUUGAGCUACAAUCCGUGCCUUAUUCCUCACCACAAGGCUAUUUUCAUCUUACUUGUUGCGGUAGAUCCAUUUGGUGCCGAUGAUAUUGUGCUUGCGUGGGUCUGGUCGCUUGACAAGUUCACAGACAUUGUUGAGCUCGAACUGAUGUAAUUCCUCUUGCAUAGCUUGAAUCCACUCAGGCUCCAGAAACGCUUCAUAUCCCUUUGUGGGCUCUGUGAUAGAGACGAAGGCAAAGUGCCCACAAAAGUUAGACAAAUGUGAAGCUUUUGAGCGUGUGAGAGGACCUGGUGCGUUGAUGUCGCUGAUGAUUUUCUUAAUCUGCACUUCAUUUGCGACGCGAGGAUGAGUGGGUUGACGACGAGGAAUUUGCUCAGCAUGUUCUUCAGAGCCAUUUUCUUCAGGUGCACCAAGAUGAUGUUCUUCAGGAUCUGGAAUGACUUCUUUAGCAGAUUCUUCGAUAGGAAUGACAUCCUCAGUAGCCUUGAACUUGAUGGUUUCCUCAGGCGACUUCUGAUCCUGUUGAUGGUGUGGCACGCAGUAUCAAUUGCCUCAAUCCAGAAGUGAUGAGGCGUCUUGUAUCGUCAAGCAUAGUGUGAGCCAUCUCAACAAGAGUCUGAUUCUUGCGAUCCAUGAUGCCAUUCUGCUGAGGAGUACAAGGAGCAGAUAACUCAUUAGUAAUACCAAGUUCAUCAAGACAAUCAUCAAGACCCGUAUUCUUGAACUCGGUCCCAUUAUCACUUCUGAUGUGCUUGAUCUUCACACCAAAGUUGGCUGAAGCCCUCAAGGAAAAUCGUUUGAAGACUUCCCGCACUUCACGUUUGUAAGUGACGAUAUGCACCCAUGUAUAAUGAGAAUAGUCAUCAACAAUAACAAAGCCAUAUAGAGAUGCUUCAUUGGUGAAUGAGGAAUAGUGAUUAGGGCCAAAGAGAUCCAUGUGAAGCAAUUCAAAUGGACGAGUGGUAGUCAUGAUAGUCUUUGCGGGAUGCUUGGCCUUGGUCAUCUUUCCAGCUUCACAAGCUCCGCACAGGUGAUCCUUGAGGAAUUUGACAUUCUCAAUGCCAAUGACAUGCUUCUUCUUCGCAAGCGUGUGCAAGUUCCUCAUGCCAGCAUGACCAAGUCGUCGAUGCCAUAGCCAGCCUUCUGAAGCUUUUGCAAGUAGACAUAUAGCAGGUUGUCCUGUAGAGAAAUCAACAAUAUAUAGAUCUCCUCUCCUAAAGCCUUCGAAGACUUUGGAAUGGUCAGCUUCCAUGAUCACAACAGAAAGAUACUUGCUAAAGAUAACAACCGUAUCAAGAUCACAAAGCAUUGAGACUGACAUGAGGUUGAAUCCUAAGGACUCGACAAGCAUGACUUUAUCCAUGUGUCGAUUCUUUGAGAUCACAACCUUACCUAGACCAAUACCUUGCUUUUGCCUUUGUCAGCAUAGGUGAUAUGCUUUAGAUGAGAUGGAGAUAAGGGAGCGUCCAUCAAUAAGUUCUUGUCACUAGUCAUGUGAUUUGUACAUCCACUAUCGAGGACCCACUCAGUGGCUUUGGGUUGAUCAUCCUGCAGAUGAAUUAGUGCAACUUACGAACUCAUAUAUUUCAUCAGUGAAGAAUAUGAAAUCAAUUUCAUCAGAUCAAAUUCAUCAAGCAAUAGAACAGAUAUAGCAGUAUAAGGACGUGAGAAAUGAAAAUUCAUUUCCUCAUGAUUAGCUUGCGUCCUUUCAAGCAUAUUCCAGGUCUCCAGCAAAUUCUUCAGACGUUUAGGUUCAUCUGGAGACCUGACCCCGCACAAGAGAUUAGAUAUUUUUCUUCACCGAGUUCAUCAUUCUACGUGCUCCAUAAGAGAAAGGUGGCAUAGAUGCCAAUCCACUUCGUUUCACAUAAGAGGAGUUAGGGUAAGCAUAUGAAUAAGCAGAGAAAUACUUCGAGGACUUAUGAACAUAAUGAUUUGAAGAAUAAUGCACAUAUUCACAGCCCUUAGAUGUUCCCUGCGAAACAGAAGUGUUAGCACGAUGAUGUUCAUAUGAGGACUUUGAUCCAUAUGAGGAAUUUGAUCCACGUGAGGAAUGUGGUCCAUAUGAGGACUUGGAUCCAUAUGAAAACUUUGGUCCAUAUGAAGAAUUUGAUCUAGGGUUCCUAUUCUUCACAGGUGGUGUCAUGAUAACAUUCACCUGAAGACUUUCAAGUCACCUUUUGGGAACCCAGAUUUUCUUCAUAGGGGGACCGUUCCUGCAGUUAGUGCCAACAUAUCUAGCAAAUACUUCACCAUUCUGAUUUUUGAACAGCUUAUAGUUGGAGUUAAAUGACUCAUCAGAAGAAUAUGAAGAUUCACAUGUAAAGCCAGAUAAAGUGGAUGGAUCUACUGGAGGUCCCUUUACAGCAACCCAUGAAGUUUUGGGAUACUGCUCAGACUUCUAGUAUGUUCCAUCAGCAUUGAGUUUCCUCUCAAAGGCAAUACCCUUUUUCCUAGGGUUCUUGUUAAGGAUCUGCUUUUUAAGCACAUUAUAAAGAGCCUGAUGCCCUUUGAGGCUUUUGUACAUGCCUGUCAUAUACAAUUCCUUCAGCCCUGCAUUGUCAGUGAUACUAGCAACAUCCUUAGAUGAGGAAUUAGUGAUAGCAGAGACAUGUGAAGAAUUUGCAGCAAUAAAAGCAUUUGAACUUUCAGGUGAAGAAUUAGCAGAUUCACGUUCAAUGCACUUCAAACAUGGUGGAAUGAAUUCUUCCUGAGCAGCGCUGAUCUGUUGAGCAAGUAAUGAAUCUCGGUCUUUCUGAAGAUCUUCAUAACUCACCCUUAGCUUCUCAAAGUCUUGCUUUCUUUGAAGAAAUUCAUAAGAAAGCUUCCCAUGAUCAAAUAAGAGGGUGUUAUGAUGACUCUGAAGGUUAUCAAACCUGGACUGAAGUCUCUGAAGACUUUCAGUCAAAGUUUUGGUGCGAUCCAUUUCUUCACCCAACAUAUGAUCGCUUUUGUCUAGCAUAUUUUGAACCUUUUCAAAAGCCUUUUGUUGUUUCACAGCAAUCUUAGCAAGUUUAUAGUAGCUAGGCUUGAGGUUUUCAUCAGAUUCAUCCUCACUUGAUUCAGAGGAGGGAUAUUUGAGUACCUUGGCACCCUUUGCCAUGAAGCAAUAGGUGGAAGCGUAGUCAUCGCUGUCGUUAGCCGUGUUGGAGAAGUCAUUCUCCUCAGAGUUGAAGAUGGACUUGCUGACGAAUGCAGUAGCGAGGGAUAGGCUCGCCACACCAGAUUCUGACUCCUCAGAUGCAUCUUCUUCCUCAUUUUCCUCAGAUUUAGCCUUGGAGUCCAUUUCCUUGCCAAUGAAUGCCCGAGCCUUCUUGGAGCUACUCUUCUUGUGAGAUGAAGACUUCGAGGAUUUUGAUGAUGAGGACUUUGAAGAUUUCUUCUUCUUCUUUGAGUCAUCAGAACUGUAGUUCUUGUAUUUCUUCUUCUUUGAUUCCUUUUCCCACUGAGGACAAUCUUGAAUGUAGUGACCAGGUUUCUUGCAUUUGUGGCAAGUUCUCUUUUUGUAGUCACGGGAUGAGGAAUCUGAUCUCAUGUCAUCAUUUCUUGAGGAUUUACCAAAGCGACCACAUCUUGAAAACUUCUGGAAUUUUCUCACGAGCAUUGCUAGAUCCUAGCUCAGCUCUUCAGGAUCACCAAGGAUGCUACCAGAAUCCUUACCUUCAGAUUCAGAUACCGCCUUGGCCUUCAGAGCACGUGAGCUGCCAUACCUCGGUCCAUAGAGAUCUCUCUUCUCAGCAAGCUGGAACUCAUGAGUGUUUAGCCUCUCGAGGAUAUCAGCGGGAUCAAGUGACUUGUAGUCUCCAUGUUCUUGUAUCAUCAGUGCAAGGGUGUCAAAUGAGGAAUCAAGCGAUCUCAGCAAUUUCUUCACCACCUCAUGGUCGGUGAUGUCAGUGGCACCAAGUGCUUGAAGCUCAUUUGAAAUGUUAGUGAGGUGAUUGCUACUUCUUGAGCAUGUGUUGGUUUUCCCUUGAAGAGGAAAGAGUGAUGCAGCAAAGUAGAGUAAGUAUUUCCCUCAGUUUUUGAGAACCAAGGUAUCAAUCCAGUAAGAGACUAUGCACAAGCCACAUAGUACCUGCACAAACAAUCAAGAACCUUGCAACCAACGCGAUAAAGGGGUUGUCAAUCCCUUCACGGUCAAACACAAAAGUGAGAUCUGAUAAAGAUAAUAAGAUAAUAUUUUUGGUAUUUUUGUUGUAUAGAUUGGAAAGUAAAGAUUGCAAAAUAAAAUAAAAGGAAACUAAGAUUGUAGAUUGGAAACUUAUAUGAUGGAAAAUAGACCCGGGGGCCAUAGGUUUCACUAGUGGCUUCUCUCAAGAUAGCAUCUAUUACGGUGGGUGAAUAAAUUACUGUCGAGCAAUUGAUAGAAAAACGCAUAAUUAUGAGAAUAACUAGGCAUGAUCAUGAAUAUAGGCAUCACGUCCGUGCCAAGUAGACUAAAACGAUUUUGCAUCUACUACUAUUACUCCACACAUCGACCGCUAUCCAACAUGCAUCUAGAGUAUUAAGUUCAUAAGAACAGAGUAACACAUUAGGCAAGAUGACAUGAUGUAGAGGGAUAAACUCAAGAAAUAUGAUAUAAACCCCAUCUUUUUAUCCUUGAUGGCUGCUGCCCCUAUUGUCACUGGGAAAGGACACCGCAAGAUUGAACCCAAAGCCAUGCACUUCUCCCAUCGCAAGAAAGAUCAAUCUAGUAGGCCAAACUAAACUGAUAAUUCGAAGAUAUUUGAAAAGAUAUCAAAUCAUACAUAUAAGAAUUCAAAGAAGAACCAAAUAUUAUUCAUAGAUAAACUUGAUCAUAAAUCCACAAUUCAUCGGAUCUCGACAAACACACCGCAAAAGAAUAUUACAUCGAAUAGAUCUCCAAGAAGAUCGAGGAGAACUUUGUAUUGAGAAACAAAGAGAGAGAAUAAGCCAUCUAGCUAAUAACUAUGGACCCGAAGGUCUGAGGUAAACUACUCACGCUUCAUCAGAGAGGAUAUGGUGUUGAUGUAGAAGCCCUCUGUGAUCGAUUCCCCCUCCGACGGAGCGCCGGAAAAGGCCCCAAGAUGGGAUCUCACGGGUACAGAGAGUUGCGGCGGUGGAAUAUUUGCUUCGUGGCGAACUUUUUUUUCACGAAAAAACAGGACGAAAAAAACCGAUGAAAAAACCGAACCAGGAACACGGGUUUUUUUUCCUUUCCGAAAGAGGCACGCCCGUGCCUCUAACGAAAUUACAACCGUGCCUCUCGCGGAAGCAAAACCGUGCCUCUCGUGAAAGAAAAAAAUAGAAAAUGUGUUUUUUUUCCUUUUCCGAAAAAGGCACGCCCGUGCCUCUCGCGAAAGCACACCCGUGCCUCUGGCGGAAGCAAAACCGUGCCUCUCGCGAAAGAAAAAAACAGAAAACGCGUUUUUUCCCUUUUCGAAAGAGGCAUGCCCGUGCCUCUCGCGAAAGCACAACCGUGCCUCUCGCGGAAGCAAAACCGUGCCUCUCGCGAAAGAAAGAAAAAACAGAAAACGCAUUUUUUUUCCUUUCCAAAAAAGGCACGCCCGUGCCUCUCGCGAAAGAAAAAAAACA